rnacentral:rRNA from 1 species
UGGGGAAUAUUGCACAAUGGGCGCAAGCCUGAUGCAGCCAUGCCGCGUGUAUGAAGAAGGCCUUCGGGUUGUAAAGUACUUUCAGUCGGGAGGAAGGUGGUAAGGUUAAUAACCUUAUCAAUUGACGUUACCGACAGAAGAAGCACCGGCUAACUCCGUGCCAGCAGCCGCGGUAAUACGGAGGGUGCAAGCGUUAAUCGGAAUUACUGGGCGUAAAGCGCACGCAGGCGGUUGAUUGAGUCAGAUGUGAAAUCCCCGGGCUUAACCCGGGAAUUGCAUCUGAUACUGGUCAGCUAGAGUCUUGUAGAGAGGGGUAGAAUUCCAUGUGUAGCGGUGAAAUGCGUAGAGAUGUGGAGGAAUACCGGUGGCGAAGGCGGCCCCCUGGACAAAGACUGACGCUCAGGUGCGAAAGCGUGGGGAGCAAACAGG